CAUAGAAUGGUUUUUGGAGCAGUGCACAAACAGGAUUUUCUGUGCAGUCAUUUCUUGGGACUUCUGGACAAUACAACCUCAACAGCACUUCUCAUCCUUCUCCAAAGGAAGCCAAGCCAAAAGGAAAUACUCAGAGGCAGGCAGGGCAGGGAUGGUGCUGUGCACCCAAGAAGUAAAAUCCUCAAGAGAAAAGCUGUUAUGAACAAACAAAGCAUGUAGAGAAGGUAUAAGGGGACAAGGCAGGUGUGUGUAGGCUGAAAUGGAAAGCCAGAGGCUGGUGUGAUAGAUUUAUGACAAGACUGGAGGAGAGGCUGAGGAAAUCUACCUAUUAUAGCUUAAAAAAUGGUCCCAUCAGAAGACUGUCAUGAGUGCUCUACUGUGCAAAUUUAUGACAUGCAGUGGGAGUGAUCAUGUCUUCUGUAAGAGCUUGUUAAGAAAAAAAAAAUUGAUUUCAUGAAUAAUGUUCACAAAAGUGCAAUAGAACUUUUUUUUUCCCUCAAGAAUGUCUGCUGUCCAUUGGUGGGAGAAAAAAGAAUAAAAAAAAAGCUCCUACAUUAAUAAUAACUGAAAACUGUUUUAUUUUUUUUUCUUUUCUGUAGCUGAAAGUGGGAACUAAUUCCAAUGUUUGUUUGAUUUUUUUUUUCUCUUCCAGAUUUUAAUUUUAGAGCAAAGAGAUUUUUUUUUCUUCUUCUUCCAGAAAUAUAUUUAAGGCCUUGAAAAUCUAUUUUCUUCUGCUUGGAAAUAUUCCACAGUGAGGAAAGAUGUGGGUUUGAAGCUUUCUGGCAAGUACUUCAGGAGUAUGGCCAUGGAGUAUUCUGCAGAGCGACGGCAUGUGGCUGGGGGAGAAGGGCACACACUGGGAAUUUCAGUGGACAAGAACAUGCUGCUAACAAUGGAAAGUGAGCUGAUGAUUUUCCCAGGCACUUGUCCCCAAGGGCAGGUGGCAGGUGGGGACACCCCUGUGACACAACGACCACCCCUUGCACCCUUUUCUGAGACCUCAUGCCUGUCGGUAGCACUACAAGAUAUCUGUUAUAGGCAUACCCUUGUGUCACUAAAAUAGUAGUAUGUACUGCAAGGAGAUAGAGCUGUUGUGAGUAACUGAUGUGUUACCCGUGCUAUGAAGCAGUUCCUGCUCACAGUGAGGGCUAUGUGGUUUUUGGCAUCAUUUUAGUUACCUAUGGUCUAAGGUGAUGCUUUCUUCUGGUAUAACCCAGAACUAUGUGCACUUGUUACUUCUGCCUGGCAGGGCUGCUCUCAGGUUAUCCCUGGGACAGAAAUGCAGAUGUUUACGGUAUGUCCACACCAGUGAACUUAAAACAUAGCCAGGAGCAGUUCCCGGGUUUCAGGCAGCUAGCCUGUGUGGUGGUUUCCUCUCCACCCCUCCAGGCUGACCACAUCCAAGCAGGUGUCUGGGAGCAGCCUCUGGCCCCUAAUCUGCUCCCAGGGAUUGCUGGGGAGGUGCUGGUGGCCCAGACCUCAACCCCGCUAUGGCAGCACACAUGAUCAAUUUUGGGGUCUGAACCUGCAAACCUGGAUCUUCAGGAUUAAUUUAUUAGUAUGGAUGUAACCUCUGUUUUCUCUGUGAGGAAGGAGAGGAAACAGGAAAAACUUCUCACUUAUUUACAUAAACCGUAAUGCUGCUUACCCCAAAUGUUGCCUUCUAAUGCAGUGACUUGGCUGGAAAUUGUUUAGGGCUUGAUUUCACAAGUGCUAAACUCUACAUCCCUGCUUUCAUGAAAAGACAGGCAAAAGGCAGCAGGAGGCCACGGGCACCAGCCCAGCGCUGAGCUGUCCAUGCACUGUCCAUGUCCAUGUCCAUGUGCUCCAUGUCCCGUGCUUUUGAGGUGGGCAAGCUGAUGGCCACUUGAAGCAGCAAUCUCACCAGUCCCCACAGAUACUCUGCCUGUCAGAGGGUGGGUUACACUGUAGGGAAAGAGGGAUGCUCAGAGUGGCUUCCAGGCAGCCCCCAGCAGAAGAAGAAGGUGUUUGUGGACAUCUGAGGCUUCCUUCUUGAUUUUUUUUACUAUGGCUUCAUCCAUAGUUGCAAACUAAAUCCUUCCCAGUGUGCUGUUGCUGGCUCCAUGAGAACAAUCCAGUUCCUAAUUUUGUUUCUGUGCUACAAAGACACAAACGGCUUCCUUGUAUAAAACAGAAACUCACAGAGAGACACUCCUUGAAGUGAUAUUUAUUCUCCAGGCUGGCAGCACUUCACCCCUUGGAGCAAUCUUCUAAGACAGAGGUUGCCCAACUCACUGAAGAACUAAUUCUGUUCCUGAUGAUUGAUGGGAGCUACGACUUCAUGACCUCAACUCAUGCUCUGAAGAAAGUGAGUUUGGACCAUAAAGCAGGCAUGGCACACCCAAAAGCAAAACACUGGAAAGGAUUUGGUCUGGUUAUGUGCAUAGUGCUCAGGGAUCAGCUGCUCCAUGCUGUCACUACCCCAGAGCACGUGGGAUGGUGCUGCUCCUCCUGGAGCAUCCCUGGGCUGCUCAGCUGGGAGGAGGGAGGCUGAGAUGACAUCUCCCAUCCCCUUUCUGAGCUGCUCAUUGCUUUCACUGGCUUUCACUGUAAAAGUAACCCAACUGAUCGUGUGCACCAGCAAUUAGCAAGUGGUCACGCACUUCCAGCAAAACCAGAAAGAAGAAAGACAGAGCAGCAAUAACAGAGGGACAGCUUUGUGCACACUGAGCUGGCAAGGACACAGAGGACACAGAGGGCAUGUACAAAGGAUUCAAUAUUUUCUUUUUUUUUUUUUUUUUAAUUUAAUCUGACAUUUAGCAAUCGUAACUUUUCAUUUGAGUAAUGAAUGGGUUUGUCCUUUUCAGCCAAACUGCUGUGGACAUCUUAUUCCCUUUAUGGUGUGUUUUGCUGAAUUCCAGAUGUUGCUGUUUAUUCAAGACAAAGUUCAUCCAGAGAAGGGUCAAGAAAGAAAAAGAUUUGCUGAAAGGAAAAAAAAAAUAAGGAGGAUUUUGGGAACAGCUAGUUUGUCUAGAUAUUACUGUUCUAUGGAGCCUUGCAUGAGCCGAAUUAUGGCAAUGAAGUGAACCAGUCUGGGAGAGUGGAAAUAACUGUCGGCGCCUGCUUCCCCCAUUAACCUUUUUUUUUAAUGUGAACUUGUAAAACAGUAUGUGGUCUGGGAGAUGGGAAAUGGGUUGGUACGUACCGAGAUAGAUGCCUCCACAGGAGAAAUUAGCAUCUUUCCUCAUGUGAUGGUGAAAGAAAUAGCUCUUUGCUCAUCUCAGCCUAGUCCUAGCUUAAGUGCAGCUCUCUACAGGCUGAGAUGGAGCAGCCAGGGGAAGUACGUGAUUAAAGAUGCUGCUUAUUUGGGUUAUGCCCUAAUUGUUUCUGUCUCGGACUGGGUCCCCAGUGUGCCAGGUGCUGUAUGAAGGCAAGCCCAAUCCACACUAGCACAUUUGUAGGCUAAACCAAAGCACCACAAGCAUUGCUCAGAUAGGAGAAGAUGAAACAUCCUUCAGUUGCUUUCCUUGAGAAGAGCAAAAGCAGCAUUUGCAUUUUGACUGGUUUUCAAUCUUGGGAGUGCAGGAAGAAGCCAGUCAGACCACUGGGGCUGUGCAGCCUUCCCCACAGAGCAGAAGGAGCAGGGAAGAGAGCUGAGCUGGAUUUAGUCCCUGGGUAUAACUAUACUGUGCCUAUGAAUUUGCCUCCAAUUUUGGCAGUUCUUCUCCACACUGGAAAGCAAAAUAAGCAGAAAACAAGCAAGAGGAUCAUUUUAGUUGCAGGUAACACAUGCACAAGUGUGGUUUGCUACCUGCUGUAGCUAGCAGAAGACUGCUGAGAUAUUUAGCAGCCUAUCUAAAUUGGCAGCACUCCUGAGAAGUGCAUGUUCAGGUGCUAAUUCAGCCUUUUGUCCCUGUUAGGUGGGAUGCAACUGCCCCUGAUGGGCUGGGUUCAAAGUGUGGGUAUGCCCUGCCUGCCCAUGCGCCACCACCUACUGUGAUAAGGGACUGAGAUGGACAGAGAGGAAGUCUUCUCUGUGACCAAGGGGCAUGGUGCAGAGGUUUCAUCUAGCCCCUAAGAGCUGGGAGUUACCUCCUCAGGAAGCCAGGGGGCUGAAAUAUCCUCAGUUCUGAGGUGUUGGGAAGGGAGGUCCAUGGCAUCAUGUCUGUAGACGCCUUAUGUUGGGUUGGAGAUGAGCAGCAACAUAAAAUCAGCACAAAGCACAAUAAGUAGGUAUCUAUCCCCUGGCCAAAUUGCUAUCUGGCCAAUUCCUGAGCAACCUUUCCCUCCAGUAACCUUUGGAGUAUGUUGGGAGCUUGGCAGGCAGGUUGGCUCCUGCUCCUGAGCUUGCUCUGUGUGGAAAAAAGGGAUUGAUGAUGGAGACAGUGCAGGGCCUGCCUGUUACAGCUCUCCCACCUCCUUUAUCCCCAUGCAGGACAUCCCAGGAGGAAGAGGAGGACAUGGCAGUGCUGGGAGUGAUCGCCUCCCAGAGCAGCAGAGCUGAAGGGCAAACAGGAGACUAAAACAUGAAGAGCACAAUGCAUCGUUCCUUUUGUGUUUGUCAUGAGGAAACACACAGCAUUACACAGCCUACAGUCUGCAUAGACAAGAAUAAUAGACAUUGGACAUAGGAUGAGAUAUGAAGAUGUCUAAGCCAACAACACCAAAACGGUGAUGACCUUUCUGCCUGUUUUGUUUAUGACACAUCCCCACAAAGCCAGACUACGUAUUGCUCCUGGGGGCAGACCAGUUUUGCUUCUUGCAUCCUUGAUCUCCUCAUGUCCAAAGCUCCCAAAGACUCGUCUGUAGGCUGUCUUGGAAGAAUCAUGGAUAUCCUAAUAGUGAAAAAAAACCACACACAUGUUGGUUGGAGAAACUCGCAGAGACAAUGAGGAGCACCAAAGAGCUGACCUGGGAUUCACCUGGCCCAGGUGCACAAGCUUUGUCUUUCAGUACAGAUGGCUCAGUUACUUUGGAAGGCAGAACAGUCAUGACCAGCAGAGGAUAACUGGCCCAAUGAGCAGAAAAGGAGUAGCUGGUGUGCUGCAUUGUGACUUCAGAAACGCUUUUGCUGGAUGACGCACUUGGACACUAAGAAAGAGGGAAAGAUUAAAUCACGGUGAGAUGGCUGGAGGGUGCUACAGAGCAGUGCAUCGGUGUCGCUGCAGCUCACCAGCCCCAGCCUGCCCAGCAGCCUCAUCUACUGAGCUUCUUGCACUGGCAUGGGUGCAAGAAAUAUCAUUCACCUCUGUG